ensembl:lncRNA
CUGGCAGGCACUGCCAUGCUGACUGAAGCACGUAGGCAACUGAGUGUCCAUGAGUUGCCUCAGCUUUCACAUAAAGUCUCCUCAUUGCACAUUAACACUAAGUCACUAUCCUGUUAGCAAAUAACCCUGGUAUCCAGUGUUUGAUAAGACAAAUAUUUGAACCAGGUGACAUUCAAGUAUUUUUAUAAAGUAACAUUUUGAAUAAGGCAGCUCUCACAGUUGCUUGGGUGGUAGCAAUUGAUUUUUUUUUGUCAUGCAAAUGGAAUGUUGCCUACAGCUGGGAAAAACCCAACUUUCGGGAUAUUCUGGAAAAGUUUUUCAGACUUCUACAACUUUUAAAAGUAAUUGGAAAGGAAAGACAUGCUGGGAAGAUGAGAAGGAAAGUUGUCUAUAUCAGAGGCCAGCUGAAAUGCAUGAAGCACUGCCUGGGGAUGGAAGAUGAGCUAGCUGAGAACUUAAUGUCUGUGUGUGUUCAUCCAUGAUUUCGCUUCAAAAUGGAAGUUCUUCAUGGAAUAGAUGAUUGUAUUGUUUUAUAAGGAGCUAGCACUAUGAUUGACAGCUGAAGAUUCUACAUAAAACACAGAAAGAAUGACCAAGGACAAAUUUCUGGUGGAGGGCUGAAGUCACAUACCAGUCAAGAAAGAGAUGGAGAAUGUUUAGCUCUGGAAGCAGGUCUGGAAAUAAAAGUGAAGGAACUGAACAGAAAAAAAUGGUGAUUGGAUUUAAUGGACUUUGCAUUUGUAAGAGACUAUUCUUUUAUAUGAUUGACUCAAAGUUUGCUGAGGAACAAGUCCAGGCAAGUCCUGGGCAAAGGUAGAGAAAUCUUUUGUCUUGAGGACACUGAUGGACAGGUUCUGGCUAAGGAUUGUGAAAUCCUCUAAGGAUCACAGAUGGACAAGGCCAGGGGCAACGAGAGAGAGAUAAGCUGCUGCUAAUGGCCGGGAAAUGGUCUUUUUGUGUGGACUUAUCUCGGGGAAGAUGGCCAUCUCAGGAGGUAUGCACCCAGGGAUGUCAUGUAGGCAGGAGAAAAUGGAGGAUAAAAGAGGGUUCAACAACCACGGCAAUGUAGAGGCUUAUCUCUCACCACGACAGACUUGAGGGGUUCUCUGCCAUCUGGUCCUUCACCACAACAGUGGAGGCUGAUCUCUCACCGCAACACAGAGGCUGAUCUCUCAUGAUCUCUCACCACGACACGAGCUUUUUGCCUUCAGAUCCUUCUCUACGGACCGUUUGCUGAUGGACUUCCCUGGGCAUGCUACCUGAGACCUGCUGCUUCCUCCCUGACCUGCACCCUCUCGUUGCCCAAGACCGGCCUCGCUGCUCCUGCCCUUUGGCCUCGGACCGUCGGAACGUCGUGCAACGGGACUGCUGCCGGAUCCUGGUGGUGACUAUCCCCGCUUUACUCAAUUCUUGCCUCUUUCUAUCUUUUCUAUCUCUUGCCUUCCCUUCCCCAUCACCCCAAUCCUUAAUAGUGUCCGUCCUCCCCUUUCUUAAUCUCCCUUAUUAACAUUUGUAAUAAACUGGUCG